UGAGGAAUUUUGCGCACUGGGAGCAAUCCUGACGCAGCAACGCCGCGUGGGUGAUGAAGGCCUUCGGGUCGUAAAGCCCUGUCAGGUGGGAAGAAUGUCCCGGGACUGAACAGGUUUCGGGAGUGACGGUACCACCAGAGGAAGCACCGGCUAACUCCGUGCCAGCAGCCGCGGUAAUACGGAGGGUGCACGCGUUAUUCGGAAUUACUGGGCGUAAAGCGCGUGUAGGCGGCCCUGCAAGUCUGAUGUGAAAGCCCCGGGCUUAACCCGGGAAGUGCAUUGGAAAGUGCAGGUCUUGAGUACUGGAGAGGGUGGGGGAAUUCCCGGUGUAGAGGUGAAAUUCGUAGAGAUCGGGAGGAAUAUCAGUGGCGAAGGCGCCCAUCUGGACGGUAACUGACGCUAAGACGCGAAAGCGUGGGGAGCAAACA
rnacentral:rRNA from 1 species